rnacentral:rRNA from 1 species
UACAGAGGUCCCAAGCGUUGUUCGGAUUCACUGGGCGUAAAGGGUGCGUAGGCGGUCGGGUAAGUCUGAUGUGAAAUCUCUGGGCUCAACCCAGAAAUGGCAUUGGAUACUAUUCGGCUUGAGGUCUGGAGGGGGGACUGGAAUUCUUGGUGUAGCAGUGAAAUGCGUAGAUAUCAAGAGGAACACCAGUGGCGAAGGCGAGUCCCUGGACGAUACCUGACACUGAGGCACGAAAGCCAAGGGAGCAAACAGG